GAUGAACGCUGGCGGCGUGCCUAAUACAUGCAAGUCGAACGAAACUUCUUUAUCACCGAGUGCUUGCACUCACCGAUAAAGAGUUGAGUGGCGAACGGGUGAGUAACACGUGGGCAACCUGCCCAAAAGAGGGGGAUAACACUUGGAAACAGGUGCUAAUACCGCAUAACCAUAGUUACCGCAUGGUAACUAUGUAAAAGGUGGCUAUACUACCGCUUUUGGAUGGGCCCGCGGCGCAUUAGCUAGUUGGUAGGGUAAAGGCUUACCAAGGCAAUGAUGCGUAGCCGAAUUGAGAGGUUGAUCGGCCACAUUGGGACUGAGACACGGCCCAAACUCCUACGGGAGGCAGCAGUAGUGAAUCUUCCACAAUGGGCGAAAGCCUGAUGGAGCAACGCCGCGUGGGUGAAGAAGGUCUUCGGAUCGUAAAACCCUGUUGUUAGAGAAGAAAGUGCGUGAGAGUAUCUGUUCACGUUUCGACGGUAUCUAACCAGAAAGCCACUGCUAACUACGUG
rnacentral:rRNA from 1 species